UUCUGGCUCAGGAUGAACGCUAGCGACAGGCUAACACAUGCAAGUCGAGGGCAGCAGUAAGUAGCAAUACUUGGUGGCGACCGGCGCACGGGUGAGUAACGCGUAUGCAACCUACCUAUCGAGAGGGGAAUAACCCGGCGAAAGUCGGACUAAUACCGCAUAAAACAGGGGCACCGCAUGGUGAUAUUGUUAAGAAAUUCGCUGAUAGAUGGGCAUGCGUUCCAUUAGGUAGUUGGUGAGGUAACGGCUCACCAAGCCGACGAUGGAUAGGGGAACUGAGAGGUUGGUCCCCCACACUGGUACUGAGACACGGACCAGACUCCUACGGGAGGCAGCAGUGAGGAAUAUUGGUCAAUGGGCGGGAGCCUGAACCAGCCAAGUCGCGUGAAGGAAGAAGGAUCUAUGGUUCGUAAACUUCUUUUGCAGGGGAAUAAAGUGCAGGACGUGUCCUGUUUUGUAUGUACCCUGAGAAUAAGGAUCGGCUAACUCCGUGCCAGCCGCCGC
rnacentral:rRNA from 1 species